GAUGAACGCUAGCGGCAGGCCUAAUACAUGCAAGUCGAGGGGCAGCAUCACUGCUUGCAGUGGAUGGCGACCGGCGCACGGGUGCGUAACGCGUAUGCAACCUACCCAUUACAGAGGGAUAGCCCGUGGAAACAUGGAUUAAUAUCUCAUAAUAUUUUUGAAUGGCAUCAUUUAGGAAUUAAAGAUUUAUCGGUAAUGGAUGGGCAUGCGUUAGAUUAGCUAGUUGGUAAGGUAACGGCUUACCAAGGCAACGAUCUAUAGGGGUUCUGAGAGGAUGAUCCCCCACACUGGCACUGAGAUACGGGCCAGACUCCUACGGGAGGCAGCAGUAGGGAAUAUUGGUCAAUGGAGGCAACUCUGAACCAGCCAUGCCGCGUGAAGGAAGACGGCGUUCUGCGUUGUAAACUUCUUUUAUCUGUGAAGAACUGCAUUCUUGCGAGAGUGUUUGACGGUAGCAGAGGAAUAAGCACCGGCUAACUCCG
rnacentral:rRNA from 1 species